AAAUCCGAGUGUAAAUCUAUAUAUUUCAAGUAUCGUCUUUUCCCACAUUUCUUGAGUUUUUAAAAUUAGUUUGUCGUCUUUCACGGGCGAGAUUAAACACGUACGACUUGGAUAUCUUUGACCAAAUGGUCAAAGGCAGAAAGUUUAUCUCGAAAACAUUUUAAAAAAGGAUUCAAAACAACGAGAAGUCGAGAACUAUAUUAUCUGCAAAAAUGUUUUGCAAAAA